rnacentral:misc_RNA from 1 species
GAUGAAGAACGUAGCGAAAUGCAAUACGUAAUGUGAAUUGCAGAAUUCAGUGAAUCAUCGAGUCUUUGAACGCACAUUGCGCCCCCUGGUAUUCCGGGGGGCAUGCCUGUCCGAGCGUCAUUGCUGCCCUCAAGCACGGCUUGUGUGUUGGGCCUCCGUCCUCCUCCCGGGGGACGGGCCCGAAAGGCAGCGGCGGCACCGCGUCCGGUCCUCGAGCGUAUGGGGCUUCGUCACCCGCUCUUGUAGGCCCGGUCGGCGCUUGCCGACACAUCAAUCUUUUUUCCAGGUUGACCUCGGAUCAGGUAGGGAUACCCGCUGAACUUAAGCAUAUCAAUAAGCGGAGGA